AGCUGCCUAUUAUAUUGGCAUAUUUAAAUCAUCUUUAAGUUUCUUCCUAAACCAUGGUUUGAGACCACAGGAUUAAGAACAGAAACUCCCAGGUGUAUAGUAGAGAGCACUGUGCUUGGAGUAAAAAGAUCAGCCUUCAAGUCCUGGUGUUAUCAUAGGCAAUUUAAUUAAAUUACUCACAGAAGCAUCAGUUUCUUCCUUUAUUCAUCAAUUAUUUAUUGAGCAUCUAUAAUUUUCUGAGCAGUAUUCUUGGGAUAGAUGAGAGAACAAAAAAGAAUACAGGGAUUACACUCCACUGUUGGCCUUGUUUAAUAUAACUUUCUUCCUUCCAGAAUUGUUGUAUAGGUCAAAUGAGACAUCAAAAAUAAAACCACUUUAUAGAGAGCUUUGGGGCAAUUUAUACACUAACUCCUGGCAGCCAUGAGUUGAGGGCUGCUCCAGGGAAUGUCACUUCUGUCCUGCCACAGGCAGAGCAGUCUUCUGCAUUUUGGAGCGAACCCUGAGGUAGGCACAGAUGCAGAUAGUGGUGGUUGCAAAUUAGCUGAUCCACACUGGAAACAGUAGGGACCAGGGGAUAUGGAAGGGAACUGUCAGUGAAUGAUGCAGACAUGAAAAGAUAAACCCAUUUUUGUCAUUACUCUGCUGGUUAGGUGGUGCCUGCCUGUCCCCUUCCCCAACCCCUGUACCCUAAUACACACCAGCCACCUGCAGGAUGGCUUGCAAUGCAUUAGUAACUCUUCUCAUGAAUCAGCUGGACCUGAAAUACUCUAGACUUGAGUUUCUCACACUGGAGUUUGUGGCUCCUGUGGGUCUAUGGAUGUAGCCUCCAAAACCAUGAAUUCAAUGACAAUACUACAAUUUUUAAAAUUUUCAUUUUGAUGACAAACUAAAAUAAAUUAAUACAGAUAUAUUCAGGGUGACCUUGUGACUAGUCAUAGUAGGCAAUUUCAUUUUCUGCAUUUGUAUUUGAGGUUGAAGUAAUGGUGAUGCCAAAUGAAGAUUUCAGGUAGCUGGAAAAGAAAAAAAUGGAAAAAUUGAGAGAUGACCAAUAAUGUAUAUUUAAGGGCUAGGUGCAAUGGCUCAAGCCUGUAAUCCCAGCACUUUGGGAGGCUGAGGCAGGUGGAUCACUUGAGGUCAGGAGUUCGAGACCAGCCUGGCCAACAUGGUGGAACCUCGUCUCUAUCAAAAAUACAAAAAUUAGCUGGGCGUGGUGGCACAUGCCUAUAAUUCCAGCUACUCAGGAGGCUGAGGCAGAAGAAUCACUUGAACCCAGGAGGUGGAGGUUGCAGUGAGCCAAGAUUGCAUCAUUGCACUCCAGCCCAUACAACAGAGCAAGACCCUGUCUCAAAAAUAAAUAAAUAAUGUAUGUUUAAAUGUAUGUUGAACAUUUUAAAAGCCUAGGUGGGCUUAUCUGUAUGUUCAUGUUCUGAGCAGAGAUGGUGCAUGGGUCACAUCUACGUAUAUAUCAAACUUGGUUGGCAAUAAAUGUAGUAGUCAACUCUCAGUAAUUUUUCAUGAAAUGGCUGUGUCGCAAUUUCCCAGGGUGUUUAUUAAGUGGAUUGGCUGAGAAUAAAUAAUGGAUAGGUAGUUUAAAACAAAUGUAUUGUCCAAAAGGAAGUGCAAUGCAAAUCAUAAUGUUGACAACUCAGAUGAUGGCUAUCAAGUUUAAAAUCAACAGGAUCAAGUCAACUAAUGAAAUAUUGUUUCCAAAUAAAUGCUUCUAUAAUAAAAGCAGUACUUCUGCUUCUGGAAAGAUGAAAUGCAGGUACUUUUCCCUAUUCUCUCCAUUAAGUGUAGCUAAAACACUGGGCAUUAUAUAUAAAACAAAUAUGAGUAGAGUUGGAAAGGUGGAGAAAAGAAGGUGGACUAACUAGCGACCCUGGGACCUGAGGAACAGUACGGUGGUGAGUUCUGUUUUUAUUCUGCCUCAUCUAUCCCAUCAAAUACUACUCAUACUGAGAACCAGGAGGAUUGCAAUAUGAAUGACAAAAGACAAUCAACAGAUGUCAACACAAAGAUAAGAGAAUUAUUUGACAAGGAUUUUAAAGCAGCCAUUAUAAAAAUUCUUCAACAAGCAAGUUUGAACAUGCUUGAAACAAAUGGAAUAUAUUAAAUCUCAGCAAAGAAAUAUAAGAUACAAAGAAAAAACACAUGGAAAUUAUAGAGUUGAAAACACAAUAACCCAAAUUAAAUUAUAUAAUAAUUUAAGGUAAACCAAUAAAAACAAAACAUAAUGUAACGUAAUUUAUUAUAUCAUUAUUAACAUGAACUUUAUUGGUCUGGAAUCUUAUAUUCACUUGGAAAUCUACUUAGAUGUAUAAUUGUACAACAGCUAUAUACAUAAAAAGCUUAUACCUUUCUAUGUUUGUACAUUUUGAAGUGGCAUUAUUUUAAAAUAAUUUAUGUUAAUACUAAGGAAACUGAAAAUUUUUUCUUUUAUAAAGGUUUCUCAUUAAAACAAACAUUUUAAAAUGACAUUUAUAAUGUAUUAUGAGCUAAAUUAUGUUCCCCCAAAAUCCAUGUUGAUGUCCUAAGCCCCGGGGCCUCAGAAUGUGACUUUAUUUGAAGACACAGCCUUUACAAAAAAAGUAAUUAAGGUAAAAUGAGGUCAUUAGAGUGGACCCUAAUCCAUUACGACUGAUGUCCUUAUAAGAAGAGGAGAUUAGGACAGAAUUCACCAGUGUAACCAUCUAGUACUAGGCUUUCUUCCUGGGAGAUUUUUUGAUUACUACUUUAAUAUCAGUACUUGUUAUAGGUCUAUUUAGAUUUUCUAUUUCUUUUUAAGUCCGUUUUGGUAGUUGCUGUUUUCUGUAAGAAUUUGUCAAUUUCAUCUAAGUUGUCUGAUUAGUUGGUAUACAGUUAUCCAUGCCAUUUCCUUUAUAUUCUUUUCAUUUCUGUAAGGUCAAGCAGUAUCAUCCCCUCUUCUAUUUCUGAUUUUAGGCAUUUGAGUCUUCUCUCUUUUUUCUUGGCCGUUCUAGCUAACAGUUUGUCAGUAUUAUUGAUCUUUUUGACAAACCAACUUUUGGAUUCAUUUUCUCUAUUGUUUUUCAAUUCGUUAUUUCAUUAAUUCCCUCUCUAAUCCUUAUUAUUUCCUCUUUCUACUUGCUUUGAGCUUCGUUUGCUCUUCUUUCUCCAUUGUCUUAAGGUAGAAUGUUUGGUUGUUGAUAUGGGAUCUUUCUUCUUUUUUAGCGUAGGCAUUUAAACUUCCCUGUGAGCACUGCUUUCACCGCAUCCCCUAAGUUUUGGUAUGUUGUGUCUUUGUUUUCAUUCAUCUCAAAAUAUUUUCUUAUUUUCCUCUGCUUUUAUCUUAGACCUGUUGGUUAUUUAGUAGUGCGCUGUUAAAUUUACACAUGUUCGUGAAUUUCCCAAAUCUUUCUGUUACUUUUAAUUUUAUUCUCUUGUGAUCAGAGGACGUAUAUUGUAUGAUUUCAAUCCUUUUAAAUUUAUUAAGGCUUGUUGUAUAGCCUGACAUACAGUCUAUUCUGGUGAAUGUUCCUUGUGCACUUGAGAAGAAUGUUUAUUCUGUUAUUGGGUACAGUGUUCUAUUGAUGUCUAUUAGGUCUGCUUUGUGUAUACUGUUGUUCAAGUCUUGUAUUUCCUUGUUGAUCUUAUGCCUCAUUAUUCUAUCCAAUAUUUAAAGUGGAAUAUUUAAGUAUCUGAAUAUUAAUGUUGAAUUGUCUGUUUUUCCCCUCGAUCAUGUCAGUCAUGUAUUUUGGGAUUCUGCUGUUAGGUGCAUAUAUGUUUAUAAUAUUUAUAAAUUCCUAAUGAAUUGAUCCUCUCAUCAUUACAUUGUAUGCCCUUUUUAUCUCUAGUAAUAUAUUUUGUUUUAAAAUCUAUUUUGUCUGAUAUUUGUUUAGCCAUUACAACUUCCAUGUGAUUACUGUUUG
rnacentral:lncRNA from 1 species